rnacentral:rRNA from 1 species
AUUGAACGCUGGCGGCAGGCCUAACACAUGCAAGUCGAACGAGUGGCGGACGGGUGAGUAAUGUCUGGGAAACUGCCCGAUGGAGGGGGAUAACUACUGGAAACGGUAGCUAAUACCGCAUACUCUCGGAUGUGCCCAGAUGGGUUUAGCUAGUAGGUGGGGUAACGGCUCACCUAGGCGACGAUCCCUAGCUGGUCUGAGAGGCUGACCAGCCACACUGGAACGGAGACACGGUCCAGACUCCUACGGGAGGCAGCAGUGGGGAAUAUUUCACAAUGGGCGCAAGCCUGAUGCAGCCAUGCCGCGUGUAUGAAGAAGGCCUUCGGGUUGUAAAGUACUUUCAGCGAGGAGGCGUUACUCGCAGAAGAAGCACCGGCUAACUCCGUGCCAGCAGCCGCGGUAAUUC